GAACUAGGGCAUUAUCUUCCCCUCUUCCCAAUUUGCAAAAGAAGGUGGAAUAUUGACUGGACUAUGAUUCCCUUCACAAUGUCAAAAUUACAGCUAUUUAACACGUUUCUUACCGACCGAUUAUCAGAGGCCGCUGUGAAAAUAUCUGGGGCAUUUAAAAAAUCGUUAGCAGAGUGUCAGGAAGAACUAUCCCGUUUUAAGGAGGAGAUUGAACGUCUACAAAGGAUGCUAGAUUUGGUUUUGGAACCCGAGAUAAAGUUACAGAGAACAGUGAUUCCUCCUGUGCAGAGUAAGCAAGAGGGGAGCCCCAGUUUGGGCCAAGACCCAGAUCCCACACAGAUUAAAAAUGAACAGGACCCUGAGCCAACACAGAUUAAAGAGGAAAACGACCUCAGGACCAGUCCGAAAGAUCACACACAGAUUAAAGAGGAGGAGGAGUUCUGGGUCAAUCAGGGCGGAGACCAACUUCAAGGGCUGGAGUCUGAUAAAAAAGAGUUCAUAUUCAACCCUCCCUAUAUUAAAAGUGACUGUGAUCAGGACCCACCUCAACCCUCACACCUUUACUAAAGACAAAAUGUAAAGAACAGACUGAGUGACUCUCUACCUACCAACACAACUGAGCAGAUGGAAACAGAAGUGAAUGAAGAGAACUACAGUGUCUCUCAGCCCUUCUCUGCAGUAAAUUCAGAGUGCUCUGCUGAUGAGACUAAAACAAGAGAAAAUGCUUGGGUUGAGAAGGGAGAAACAUCGUCAGGGUUAAAGCGGAGUUGUGAAGGCAAAAAUAUUGUUGCCAUGUCUGUGGCAAAUGCUUCGCACACAAUACUAAUCUGAGAAUCCAUAUGACUGUUCACACAGGGGAAAAGCCAUAUAAGUGCAAAGACUGUGACAAAUGCUGCAGUGCAAAGGCAGACCUGGUAAGGCAUAUGAGGAAUCAUCAUUAUUGGCCAGGGCAUGUUCUAGGAGGACAUUUUAAUCAGGAAACCCAUCAUACUGUGACAAAGAUGCUUUAUUAAUGUGUGAUGACAAGGAGUUGCUGGGAAGAUACAGGCUUGAUCAGGCAGGAAUUAAGUUUGUAUUGGAGUUAGUCAGAGACUCUCUCACUUCGUCAAAACAUCAAUGUCAAGCCAUUUCUCCUGGAGUUAAAUUACUAAUAACCCUGGGUUACUUGGCCACAGGCAAGAUGCUACUGUGCAGUAGUGAUGAUUUGGGACUGUCAAGCUGUUCUAUAGCUCAUGUCAGAAUGGUGAUAACACAAACUAUCAAUGCUCUCUCAGAUCCUCAACUAGUAGGCCAGUUCGUUGCCUUCCCACAAGAUGCCAGCCAGCUCCAACACAACCAAGCUAGGUUUAAGGCAAUAGCUGGCUUCCCCAGUGUUGCUGGAGUCAUUGGCACAACUUUUAGAAGCAGCUCAGUAUUAAGUACAACAUACAACAAGGAGUUCAAGAAUUUCCCUGGAGACCCAAUUAUUUUAAUCGACACCCAUGUGGUGUUCGAUGCACACUGCAAGGUUCUCUAUGUUGUGCAGAAGAGUGUGGAUCAGGAGAUACUGAGUGAGGGUGGCCUCAAACAGAUUGAGGGGCUUCUUGCGCUUGCUGGAUAUCACUUGCUGGGGAUACCCCUGUGGAUAAUUUACCCCUGACAGUGGAUACCCCUGCAGACAAUGGCUGCUCACACCUUACCUCCAUCCACUGCCUGGCCCACAGUUGAACUACAACAGGGCACUUAAGAAAACGCGAGGUGUAAUGAGGAGGGGCAUCAGCCAAAUGAAGAGGAGAUUUCCCAUCCUGCAAGCAGACAUCCAGUUGAAGCCGGAGAGGGUGAGCAGGAUUAUUAUCAUCUGUGCCAUCCUGCAUAAUAUCUGCCGUGACAGGAAUAUUUCCACUGCCUGAGGGGGAAGAUGAUGAUGACGAAGCCAAUGAUGUCAAAGUGAAAGACGGAAAGAUGAUGGCUGAAGAGAAUGGGCCAGUAGAGAGCCUGCCCCCAAGUGAUCUUCACUACAGACUCUACUUUACUGACCUACAUUUCAAGUAGGCUGUAGAACAGACCCUGAAUGUGUGGCUAUCACAAGUACUGUACAUGAGUUAGCUACAAUCGAUAUGGAAAUAUGUGUUUAUCGAUCAGUUAUUUAAACUGUCACAAGGGUGAGUUAUUGUUGAUUUUAAGAAUAAAUC